ACAAACUUGGUCAUUUAGAGGAAGUAAAAGUCGUAACAAGGUUUCCGUAGGUGAACCUGCGGAAGGAUCAUUAAAAAACUUGCCCGAGACACUUCUCGUCCAAGGGCCCCACACUGUGUGCACUGUUAUCGUUCUCUGGCAGGGGCUUGGUUCUUUUUCGAAUCCAACUUCUCUUUCGGCUCCAUCUUCUUUGUGUCUCUCUCGGGGGAAAAAAGGGACAGCCGAUCAUUGGAAGCAGUUUACCCUGCCAAGUAACACCUAAACACGCUUUUUUGUUUGCCUGAAACAUUGUUAUUUUGCGAUUAUAUACGCAUAAUCCAAAACAUAACUUUCAACAACGGAUCUCUUGGCUCUCGCAUCGAUGAAGAACGCAGC
rnacentral:misc_RNA from 1 species